rnacentral:misc_RNA from 1 species
AUUACAAGAAUCGUUAAUUGCUGUGAUGCUGCCACUUGGAUGAAUGAAAGAUACACUGAUAUUUUGCAAGAGAACUGUGAUUUGUUGUUUUCUGAGUCGGACAUCCAAGCGCUCCUUCAGACUCUACGGACACUUGUAAGCGUUGAAUGUCAUGGUCUCUCUGUGGAUCUCAUCCUGCAGAUUUUGUUGAAUGCCUUUUCAAGAUUACCAAUCUUGACCCAAGAGGAGAUAAUUCUCGAGCACUUCCUGUCUCAUGAUGCUCCUGACCUUCUCUCACCUGUGGGCAGCUUUCACCAGGAGAUGAACAUUGCCUUCAACCAAUUCACCAGCGAAACAUCAGAAAAAGACCUAAGGGCUGUGUUGAGACUCUGUCUGGUCAACGCUGUAGCAGUAGUGGAGUACGCUGCCACUGUUGCAGUCAAAAAUCCAGGACAGAUUCCAGUCAUACUGAAGAUUUUCCACUCAGUGCCUGACUUGUGUCGUUGUUGCUAUGGUAACCACCACCCUGAAAAAUCCCUCCUGUGUCAUGUGAUGACCCAGUAUUUGCUGGCAAACAAACUUGGUCGCAAUGAAGAGAAGAAUUUAAUCAAGUUUAUAUCUACUGCUGUGAAGAGUUUUCACCGGGAGGUCAGUGGCUACACAUUUGAAGAAGCUGCCAUUUUACCCCCAGCUGAGUUUGCCUCUGCAACCAUCUUGCCUUUCAUUGGCUCAUAUAACUCAGGCAAUCAGGAACAACCAAUCAACACUGAGCUUGCCUUGAGGCUGUUGAUCUGUGUAUUGGAGAGUGGAGGUGACAAGGACUGUGAUUGGUUGAUUGAGCUACAACCACAGACACUUCUUCUAUGUCUGUUUGAGGUGCUAGAUGAUUGUGUGGAGCUGUGGGAUGGUCCAGGGAACAAGUCCAGUAUCAAACAGUCCUGCUUGAGAUGUCUCCACUUGAUGCACACCAAGUGUGCUGGAAUUUUCACAAAAUUACAUGAGAUGGCUGCUGAUUGGUUGAAACUGAAAACAAAGGAUCUUGAUUGGACAGUUCUGGUCCACCUUCAGAAGACACUCUCUUACCUGGAUCCAGCACAGACAGACAGUCACAAACCGUUUGUUGAAGACGUAGUUCAUCACGUGAUAGAAGGCAGUGCUGACAACUGUCUGCCGCUGCUGAGGUGUGCAAGCAUCUCAGAGGAAACUGCAACUGCCAUCAACCAGUGCAUCCCAUCCUGUCACAGAGUUAUCUCCCCUGAUGUUCUCACGUCUGCCCUCACACAGAUGUUGCGAAACCUGCUGGUGGUGGAGUGGAGGCGGGUGAGUGGCUGUCUGUGGACUCUCAUCACCCACGACUGCCUGGCUCCACCCUACAGGAUUCUGCUGUAUAACAAGAUUGUCCUGGCAACCAGGAAUGAGGUGAAAUGUUUACUGACUUUGACUCAGAUACUGUCUGAUGUUGUCAUGGCAACAUCAAGUGACACGGCUGCUCCUGCGUCUGCUGUCCUCCAUGUCAACACCGGCUAUGUGGCUGUUCUGCAGGAACAAAUGAAAGUUCUCACAGACGUCCAGGACAAAAAGAUUGUGUCAUUUGUACUCAUUCAGAUGUUAAGUCAUGUGACUGUUGCCAUGACUACAAUGGACUCUGACCAAUCAGAACCCUUGUUUGUCUUUCUGCUGGACCUUCUUGGCAAGUACUGUGACUUAAAGAAGGGGAGACAAUCUGCCAGCACCGUCCAGAACUUCCGGGAGCUGGACCAGGUGGUGGUGCAAGCUGUGGGUCUGAUGGAGGACAGCAGCAGACAGGAAACAUUGUUGAAAAAACUGUGGGAGAAAAUACCGGACACAGGUUUCAAGAAAUGAGUGUUCCUGAACAAUAAGAUACAUCAUGGUUGACUCCUCGUGUCAUAUCCAGCUGACCUGUUACUUGAAACAACUACUCUGGAUAUAGGAAACAUCAAGUCAUGAUGUGAAUAAAAACUUCAGAGAGAAA